CCUACGGGUGGCAGCAGUGAGGAAUAUUGGUCAAUGGACGAGAGUCUGAACCAGCCAAGUAGCGUGAAGGAUGACUGCCCUAUGGGUUGUAAACUUCUUUUAUAUGGGAAUAAAAUGUUCCACGUGUGGGAUUUUGUAUGUACCAUAUGAAUAAGGAUCGGCUAACUCCGUGCCAGCAGCCGCGGUAAUACGGAGGAUCCGAGCGUUAUCCGGAUUUAUUGGGUUUAAAGGGAGCGUAGGUGGAUUGUUAAGUCAGUUGUGAAAGUUUGCGGCUCAACCGUAAAAUUGCAGUUGAAACUGGCAGUCUUGAGUACAGUAGAGGUGGGCGGAAGUCGUGGUGUAGCGGUGAAAUGCUUAGAUAUCACGAAGAACUCCGAUGGCGAAGGCAGUUCACUGAACUGCAACUGACACUGAGGCUCGAAAGUGUGGGUAUCAAACAGGAUUAGAUACCCCUGUAGUC
rnacentral:rRNA from 1 species